ensembl:snRNA U4 U4 spliceosomal RNA
AUAAAAGAGCUUUGCACAGUGGCCACUGGCGUUUAUCUGAGGUGCAGUUAUUACUCCUUGAAAACUUUUCCCAGUACCCGUCUGUGACAACGUGCAAUGUCGUCAGCAUUGGCAAUUUUUGACAGUCUCUAUGGAGA